GACUAAAAGGUCUUCACUUAAUCUCUUCUUUCUCACGUGUGUUUUUCCCUUCUCUCUUGCCAAGAAUCUUGCUUAUGAAGGACACUGGAUAAUAGGAUUAUAAUAUUGCAGAAUUAUAUUUUAUAUACGCAACACUUUUUGAAUUACAAAACCAUCACUACCACCCAUAAUGUGAUUACUGAAAAUUGUUUAAAGUCUUUUCCAGCAUUUUUUGUCCUUAGGGCAUAUAUUAUUAGGGAUCUAUCAUCAAAAACUAUUUAGUUGGAUUAGUUUCUGUAUGGUUAUACCAGCAACUAGUUACUCAUUUAGAUUCAUUUAUCUCAUUUUAAUUUCAAUUUUGGGGGAUUAAAUUUUUUGUUAUAUAAAAUUCCUACAUGGUUUCAAAGUCAAUGCUAUAAAACAAGACGUAUUCAAAGAUGUCUACCUUCUAUCCCUAUUCCUACAUCCUACUCACUGUGUACCUUUCGGGGAGAAGUCAACAUUAGGAUUGUUGAAUGUACCAGAGAUUUCCAGAAGGCUGAUAUCUGAAUUGCACCUAUAAAAAGCCUAACUUUGAGUGAUGAUUAAAUUGUACGGAACAUAAUCCAAGGAUAGAAGUGAUUAACAAGAGGGCUGGGAGAAAUGACCACUGACUGAAUCCAUGGACUCAAUGGACAUUCUGUGAGCUGGACCUGGAAAAAUGAGGAAAUCAAGACACCAUGGAGCCCUUUGUGGGCGGAGCCAAUGAUGCCCAUGGGCCAUCCCUUGCCCUCCAGGUGAGCGCCCACUGCAGGUGACUGUAUUGUCCACUGAUAUUUCUGGAAGACAAACAAACUGAUGAAGAUGGCAGGCAAGUAGGAUGGUUAAGGAGGAAUGCUAGGUAGAGAGAAGAGCAUCACUUCCAAAAGGUAUCGAGGGUCAAUUUGCAGUUGGACUACAAACUUUAAGUGGGCCACAUUGUCUUUAUUAUGAAGCUUUCCAGGAGCACACAACUGAAUGGAGC
rnacentral:lncRNA from 1 species